rnacentral:misc_RNA from 1 species
CGUCAUUUAACCCUUCAAGCUUCUGCUUGGUGUUGGGCGUUUGUUCCGCCUCCGCGCGUGGACUCGCCUCAAAUUCAUUGGCAGCCGGUAAGUUGGCUUCGUGCGCAGCACAUUGCGUCGCGUCUCCAGCCUGCCCCCUUCCAACAAGCUUCUAUUAUCACUUUGACCUCGGAUCAGGUAGGGAUACCCGCUGAACUUAA